ensembl:lncRNA
UCCCUGCCUACUGUGAGCCUUCUGAAGAAGCUACAAGAGCUACAGUGAGCACAAUGACACUGAUAGAGCAAAGUGUCAGCUACAAAACAUAAUUUUUCAGCAUAGUCAUCACCAUUAGCGGUGUGUUUUUGUCAGCCAUGAACAAGAGCCUGCCUGCUGUGUUCACAAAAAUCUGAAUCGGUGAUGAUGACCCACUGUCACAGUUGCCGCUGCUAAAAAGGCCACCCAUCACCUCACUGUACUCACAUUCACUGGUUGGUGUUCAUAAACAUUCAGUGUCAGUGAAUGACAUUGUGUUGAGUUUUUUCCUCACUGAGGAAUUCAGUGACACAAUUCUGCUUCAUAUACGCUUCUGUACCAGAUGCCUUUUUGUCAGACUGCCCC